CUGCAGCUCAAGUGGUGACCGCUAUUAUUGGGCCUAAAACGUUCGUAGCCGGCUGAGUAAAUGCUUGGGUAAAUCGUGCCGCUUAACGGUACGAAUUCCGGGUAGACUACUCAGCUUGAGACCGGGAGAAGCUAGAGGUACUCCUGGGGUAGAGGUGAAAUUCUGUAAUCCUGGGGGGACCACCAGUGGCGAAGGCGUCUAGCUAGAACGGGUCUGACGGUGAGGAACGAAGCCCUGGGGCGCAAACCGGAUUAGAGACCCGAGUAGUCC
rnacentral:rRNA from 1 species